CCUACGGGUGGCAGCAGUGGGGAAUAUUGGGCAAUGGGCGCAAGCCUGACCCAGCAACGCCGCGUGAGUGAAGAAGUAUUUCGGUAUGUAAAGCUCUAUCAGCAGGGAAGAUAAUGACGGUACCUGACUAAGAAGCCCCGGCUAACUACGUGCCAGCAGCCGCGGUAAUACGUAGGGGGCAAGCGUUAUCCGGAUUUACUGGGUGUAAAGGGUGCGUAGGUGGCAGGGCAAGUCAGAUGGGAAAGCCCGGGGCUCAACCCCGGUACUGCAUUUGAAACUGUCCAGCUGGAGUGCAGGAGAGGUAAGCGGAAUGCCUGGUGUAGCGGUGAAAUGCGUAGAUAUUAGGAAGAACACCGGUGGCGAAGGCGGCUUACUGGACUGUAACUGACACUGAGGCACGAAAGCGUGGGGAGCAAACAGGAUUAGAUACCCUGGUAGUC
rnacentral:rRNA from 1 species